rnacentral:rRNA from 1 species
GAGUUUGAUCUUGGCUCAGAGCGAACGCUGGCGGCAGGCCUAACACAUGCAAGUCGAACGGACCCUUCGGGGUUAGUGGCGGACGGGUGAGUAACACGUGGGAACGUGCCUUUAGGUUCGGAAUAGCUCCUGGAAACGGGUGGUAAUGCCGAAUGUGCCCUUGGGGGAAAGAUUAUCGCCUUUAGAGCGGCCCGCGUCUGAUUAGCUAGUUGGUGAGGUAACGGCUCACCAAGGCGACGAUCAGUAGCUGGUCUGAGAGGAUGACCAGCCACACUGGGACUGAGACACGGCCCACGACUCCUACGGGAGGCAGCAGUGGGGAAUCUUGCGCAAUGGCGAAAGCCUGACGCAGCCAUGCCGCGUGAAUGAUGAAGGUCUUAGGAUUGUAAAAUUCUUUCACCGGGGACGAUAAUGACGGUACCCGGAGAAGAAGCCCCGGCUAACUUCGUGCCAGCCGCCGCAGUAAU